GUGAGGGGGUUACUAGUGACAGAGUGAGGGAAGGGGUGACUAGUGGCAGAGUGAGGGAAGGAAGGGGUGACUAGUGACAGAGUGAGGGAGGUGGUGACUGUUACUAGUCACCACCUCCCUCUGUCACUACUCCCUCCCUCCUUCUGUCACUACUCCCUCCCUUCUUCUGUCACUAGUCACCCCCUCCCUCACUCUGUCACCAGUCAUCCCCUCCCUCACUCUGUCACCAGUCAUCCCCUUCCCUCACUCUGUCACCCCCUCACUCUGUCACUAGUCACCCCCUCAC